AACGUUAAGUAAUUAAGUAAUUUUUUUUUUUGUCAAUGUUUAACUAGUCGGCUUAAAACAGCUACAUGAUUCAAGUAUAAAUUCUCUUCAUGAAUCAUCAUGUGUUAAAUAUCUUUGCAGAAAAGAUGCAUGAAAUCUUAUGUUUAAAACUAUCCUAUGCAUUCAGAAAUAAGAAAAAUGCUAAAUAUUUCUCUUACGUUCAGGUUAAGAGUUGAACUCAAAGAGGUCUAGUUGCUUUUUUGCAGCGUCUCUCGCGUGAAACACAGCACUGGCGUUAAAGGAGCUCAGCUGGCGUCUCAUAACUUUGCGUUUUCCAGCGUCUGGUGUUUUUCAGCACAAAUGCAUUCUGUGUGAAUAUCAGGACUAGUGAAAAGAAGGAGCGUAACGCAGAACAGAGCGCGACACGUGAUCAUCAGUCAUCAGGGACUCUUAGCACUGGAGACUUCUAGAUGUAGUCUUUGUGUUUCGCUCGUCUCGGUGUUCUCCGUCGGAUGCGUUCGCUGUCGCUGAUGUGCUGCGUCCGUCUGUGAUCGCUGAGUAUCGUGGCGUGGCUCGUGGACACAGAUCUGAGCAAAGGCAGCAUGGAGAACGGCGCACAUGGAGGUGAGUUACGAGCUGCUCAUUCAUUACUCCUGAGUGUGUUUGACUCUCUGAGUGACCCUCGUGUGUUCAUCAGCAGCUCAGGCCAACGGUCUGGCUGGCCACAAACCGAGCGGCCAAGCAGCGGUCAGCGGCGUUCAGACGCAGGAGCUGCUCCAGCAGUUGAGCAUGACUCCAGCGCAGCUGUUGCAGACGCAGACGCAGCUCCUGGCCGCAGGUCAACAGAGCAGCACCACCGGAGCCAGUAUCUCCGCCUCCGCGGCCACGCCCAUCACACUGUCCCAGCCCAUUCAGAUCGCGUCUGUAAGUGA
rnacentral:lncRNA from 1 species